CAUCUCAAAUCUAAAAAAACUCGGAGUCAAAUGGCAAUAAUGAGUUCGAGAGAAGAAGAUAUGUCGUUGGACGUGCUGCCAGAAGCAUGCAUAGCCAACGUUCUGUCCUUUACUUGUCCGAGGGAUGCUUGUAGACUGUCUAUGGUGUGUUCCUUGUUUAAGGCGGCAGAAGAAUCUGAUUUUGUCUGGGAAAGGUUUCUGCCCCGUGAUUAUCAAUCUAUCAUCUCCAAAUCUGAUGCUUCUUCUAUGCUGCUGGCUUCUGCUUCUUCUAAGAAACAUCUCUAUCUCAUGCUUUGUGAGAAGCCCUUGAUUAUCGAGGGUGGCAAAAAGAGCAUUUCAUUGGAAAAAAAGAGUGGGAAGAAAUGCUACAUGCUUUCUGCAAGAGAUCUGAUAAUUGUAUGGGGUGAUACUCCUACUUACUGGAAAUGGAAUUCUGAUCCUUCCUCCAGAUUUGGAGAAGUGGCAGAGCUGAUUAGUGUAUGUUGGCUUGAAAUCCGUGGAAAAAUCAAUGCUACUAUGCUGUCUCCAGCAACGUUAUACACAGCCUACCUUGUGUUCAGGCCAACAAGAGGACUUUAUGGAUUAGAUUACCAGCCAGUGGAGGUGGGGGUGGGACUUGUUGGUAGUGAAUGUGGUAUGAGAAAUGUGUAUUUGGAUUCAGAGAGAGGGCGGCGGCAGCAAUACCAUUUUGUCAGUAGGCGCAUCGGCUUGUUCAACCGUUGCCGAAUUGUGGGGAUGCCAGCAUCUGAACCUGCCAGAGAAAAUAAUGGACAAUAUCCAAAGAAAAGGGAAGAUGGAUGGCUGGAGAUUGAGUUGGGGGAGUUCUUUUGCAAGGAAGGGGAAGAUAGAGAACUGGAAAUGAGUGUUCAAGAGGUUAAGGGUGGUGAUUGGAAAGGUGGGCUGAUUGUUGAGGGGAUUGAGAUUAGGCCAAAAGAGGGUAAAUAAAUAAAGACACUUGAAGAGGUUGAAUAUGAUGAGUUGCAGCGAUGCUCAAGUUCAAGCUCAGGUGGUCAUACCAUCAUCGGAUUGCCAUGAAUCCCAGUGAUUUGAUUGGAUUGAGACUUGGUCUUAAUCUCAGGUUGCAAUCAAGCUUGCAUGGGGCAGGAUGUUCACCCCUUAAAUCACAGUUUUGAGCAUGCAUAAACUCCAGCUAAGCACAGACUUGCUGAUACCAAGAGAAAGGUCUUCCAUUGCCUUCCAGAUGCUAGAAUGGCCAAUGCAGUCAAUGCAACAGAAAUUGCAGAGAGGGCAUUUUUCCAAGCUUGGAAAUUUUUUAC